GUGCUUGCUUCAGCAGCACAUGUACUAAGAUUGGAAUGAUACAGAGGUUAGCAUGGCCCUUAUACAAAAUUGAUAAGCAAAUUCAUGAAGUGUUCCAUAUUUUU
ensembl:snRNA U6 U6 spliceosomal RNA